rnacentral:rRNA from 1 species
AUACGGAGGAUGCAAGCGUUAUCCGGAUUUAUUGGGUUUAAAGGGUGCGUAGGCGGAUGAUUAAGCGUGAGGUGAAAUGCCACUGCUCAACAGUGGAACUGCCUCGCGAACUGGUUGUCUUGAAUGCUCCUGCCGUGGGAGGAAUGUGUGGUGUAGCGGUGAAAUGCAUAGAGAUCACACAGAACACCGAUUGCGAAGGCAUCUCACGAAGGGGUGAUUCACGCUGAGGCACGAAAGCGUGGGGAUCAACCAGGAUUAGAUCCCCUGGUAGUCCACGCAGUAAACGAUGAUAACUAACCGCUGGGUCGUAGUGAUUCAGUGGCCAAGCGAAAGCGAUAAGUUAUCCACCUGGGGAGUACGACCGCAAGGUUGAAACUCAAAUGAAUUGACGGGG